AGUUUUCCGAAUCUGUGCUGAGAUUUCAUCAGACACCAACACAUUAAAGCUGAUCAGACUCCUAAGAUAAGUGAAGUC
rnacentral:pre_miRNA from 1 species